rnacentral:rRNA from 1 species
GACAGAGGGUGCAAACGUUGCUCGGAUUUACUGGGCGUAAAGCGCGUGUAGGCGGGUGGAAAAGUCGGGAGUGAAAUCCCUGGGCUCAAUCCAGGAACUGCUUCCGAAACUCUCCAUCUAGAGUGAUGAAGAGGAAAGCGGAAUUCCCGGUGUAGAGGUGAAAUUCGUAGAUAUCGGGAGGAACACCAGUGGCGAAGGCGGCUUUCUGGGCAUCAACUGACGCUGAGACGCGAAAGCGUGGGGAACAAACAGG